UACGGACGCUGCACAGAAAGCAGGCACACAUAUGCCUGACAACAAUACAAGGAUUGUCAACCAGAAGCAUUGGAAUCAACAGUGCAGGAAAGGCACAGUAUUAAAAAGGUACCUGGAACGCCGUUAAUGAGAAGAGCCAAUCACCAUCCUUGGAGGGCCC